GCGGUCAAUGCCACACGAGCGUGACAGCGAUAUAAUUAUGCGCGUGCGAUAGAGAUAGGAAAUGGCGGGUCAAUGAACCAAGUUCUCCCUGCUUAGCGUCCUUACUUUACCUAAAAAUAUUAGACUGAAUAAACAAUAGAUGCGAGACUAACAAACAGUGUUUGUUGAUCAAUCGAUUUCAUAAUAGCAACUAAGUAUGUAUCUUGUGAAUAGAUCAUAAGAUUUACUUUGCAUUGGCACUAACUUUCACUAUGUUAGAUCACCACAUCUAUUUUUAAUUUCAUGUUAAAACCUUUUUGUAUAAUUUUCAUAAUUAAACCAUUAAUUGUUAGUUUAAGGGUGUUAAAGAAAAUUAUACAUUUAAAAAUAACAUAAAAAAAAACUUGUUAAACAGUUGAGCAUAAAUGAAAUUAAAAUAACGCAUUAAAAAUCCUAUAAUUAUCUCCUAGCUGAGGAUGUUACGUGGCUAUUACAUGUAAGAAGAAUGUCCAAAUCGGCAUGAAAAAGUUACUUUUUUAGUUGAAUACGCCUCGCCUUUCUUUCUGUUAUUUCUGUAGGUACAGUUAUAGCCACUUUUACUGUUCAUAAUAAUUACUAAUAAUUAGAUAUUUAACCCGCGACGCAAAAAGAGCGGUGUUAUAUGUUUGACGCUAAUCUCCUGUCUGUCUGUGGCAUCGUAGCUCUCCAACGGAUGGACCUAUUUCGAUGCGUUUGAUGAGUAUCAGCUCUUUUCCAAAAUGAUGUAAGGCAUUUUUGGCAUAAAAUUGUUUUUUUUGGCGCACAGCGUAGGUUAUAUAUUUUUUAAUUUAAUAAAUAUUACUGCACACAAAGGCUAGGGGAAGUAAAUAAGCCAAAUAAGUAUCUUUUUCAUGCAUUUUAUAACAAGAGGAUAUUUUGUUCUAUUAAUAUAAAAAUCAUAUCACAGAAAGAUGCAUUAUAAAAAAUUAACUUAAACUGGUGUUUUGACUAGUACAUACAAUUUUUAUAAUAUAAUUCCGCUGAACAAAACAUUUUCAAUUAAUCUGAUUUCGAAACCAUAUUGAAUUCAAGUAAACAUACACAUAGCAUACGUAAAUAUACUUAAAAUGUUACCUAGGAAUCAGA